AUGGAAGAAGAGAUCAUCGUGCUCAUCAUUGACAAUGGCUCUGGCAGGUGCAAAGCUGGCUUUGCUAGGGACGAUGCCCCCUGAACCAUGUUCCCCUCCAUUGUCGGGUGCCCCGGGCACCAGCUCAUGAUGGUGGGCAUGGAUGGGCCAGAAGGACUCCUAUGUGGGCGACGAGGCCCAGAGCAAGUACGGCAUCCUGACCCUGAAAUAUCCCAUCGAGCAGGGCAUGGUCACGAACCGGGAUGACAUGGAGAAGAUCUGGCACCACACCUUCUACAACAAACUGCGUGUGGCCCAGAGGAGCACCCAGUGCUGCUGACUGAGGCCCCCCUGAACCCCAAGACUAGCAGAGAGAAGAUAACUUGGAUCAUGUCUAAGACCUUCAACACCCUGGCCAUGUGUGUGGCCAUCCAUGCCGUGCUGUCCCUCUAGUGCUCUGGGCACACCAGUGGCAUUGUCACAGACUCUGGAGAUGGGGUCGCCCACACGGUGCCCAUCUCCCCUAACCAACUACCUCAUGAAGAUCCUCACCGAGUGUGGCUACAGCUUCACCUGUAGCUUCACCCCACGGCCGAGUGGGAGAUCGUGCGUGACAUCAAGGAGAAGCUGUGCUACGUUACCCCGGACAUCAAGCGGGAGCUGGCCACCGCCGUGUUCUCGUCCCUGGAGAAGAGCUAUGAGCCACCCGACGGCCAGGUCAUCACCAUCUGCAGCCAGUGGGUCUGGUGUCCAGAGGCAACUUUCCAGCUUUCUUUCCUGGGCAUGGAACCCCCGGCAUCCACAAGACCACCUUCAGUUCCAUCGUAAAGUGUGACGUGGACAUCCACAAAUACCUGUAGGCCAAGAUGAUGCUGUCCUGCGGCACCACCGUGUACCUGGACAUCACGGGCAGGAUGCAGGAGAUCACCACUCUGGCGCCCAGCACCAUGAAGAUCACAAUCAUCGAGUCCCCUGAGCACAAGUACAUGGUGUGGAUUGGCGGCUCCAUCCUGGCCUCCCUGUCUACCUUCCAGCAGAUGUGGAUUAGCAAGCAGGAGUACGAGGAGUCAGCCCCCUCCAUCAUCCACCGCAAAUGCUUCUAA
rnacentral:lncRNA from 1 species